GAUGAAGAACGUAGUGAAAUGCGAUAAGUAGUGUGAAUUGCAGAAUUCAGUGAAUCAUCGAAUCUUUGAACGCACAUUGCGCCCUUUGGUAUUCCAAAGGGCAUGCCUGUUCGAGCGUCAUUUGUACCCUCAAGCUUUGCUUGGUGUUGGGCGUCUUGUCUCUAGCUUUGCUGGAGACUCGCCUUAAAGUAAUUGGCAGCCGGCCUACUGGUUUCGGAGCGCAGCACAAGUCGCACUCUCUAUCAGCAAAGGUCUAGCAUCCAUUAAGCCUUUUUUUCAACUUUUGACCUCGGAUCAGGUAGGGAUACCCGCUGAACUUAUGCAUAUCAAUAAGCGGAGGA
rnacentral:misc_RNA from 1 species